rnacentral:lncRNA from 1 species
AUUUUAAGUUUUUGUGUUAUUUAUUUUGAGCAUUUGUUAUUUCCAUUUUGUAGCCCAACCCAUUUUUGGACUGCUGGCCCAGUAGGUUAUCUUUUCUUUCAUAUUUAAGAUGCUGCAAGACGCCUCCUAGGGUUUUCUUGGUUGUUCACGGAAUAAUAAAAGUUUGUUUCUGAAUUUAAUCCGUUUGGUUAUUGUUGUCGUGUGUUUGUAGAUUCAAUCUACAUCAUUUUAGUAUCAGAGCAUGGUGCGUAUGAGAGGACGUGGUGGCUGUGGUGGCCAGAUUGAUGAAGUUGCAGAUUUGCGUAAUCAAGUUGAGGCGUUGACAAUCCGAUUUGAUCAAUUCAUGACGUGGGCGGUAGAGGUUGUGCAGAACGGAACACCUCCUGCUCCUCUACGUCGUGCCCCAGUGAGUGAUGGUGGAGGUGGAUCUGAAUUAGGGGAGAGGUCGGAUGAGGAGACCUUGUCAGAGGCAUGUGACGAUCGUGUUCAACAGUCUCGUGUGCAACAGCAGGACGCGUUUCAGCAAUGGGAAUCCGGAUUCAAGGUUGAGGUACCUGAAUUUCACGGUGGAAUUGAGGCAGAUGAAUUCCUCGAUUGGCUGGCGGCAGUAGAGGAGAUCUUGGAUUACAAAGAAGUGCCUGACAAUAAAAGGGUACCUUUGGUGACGACCCGUCUGCGUGGUCGUGCUGCUGCGUGGUGGCAGGAACUGAAGCAAAACCGGAUCCGUCAGGGUAAGGUGAAAAUCCAGUCGUGGGAAAAAAUGAAGAAACAGUUGAAGGCAGCGUUUCUUCCCUUUAAUUAUUCCAGGACUUUGUAUCAGCACUUACAGAAUUUGAGACAAGGCAAUCGAUCUGUAGAUGCUUAUUCCACAGAGUUUUACCAACUGAUAGCGCAAAAUGAUGUGGGAGAAUCAGAAGACCAGUUGGUAGCGCGCUAUAUUGGUGGACUACGAUUGAAUUUGCAAGACGUCCUAAAUAUGUUCUCGUCGGUAUCUGUUUCUGAGGCUCACCAGCGAGCACUUCAGGCUGAAAAUUAACAACAACGUCAUUCUGUAGUAGGCAUUUCUAGUGGUCCAUCUGGAGGUGGGGGUCGACAAUUCGUCCCAAAUCCCACAUCUGGUCCGUCCCAAUCCUUCACAUCUGGGGGUCGGGGCGUUGAUCGGAACACUCGGCCAGUGGUUCCUCCAACCGCUAAUCCGGGUGGCUGGGCUCCUCCUGGUGGACGAGGGCUUGGAAGUCAGUGUUUUGGUUGUGGUGGUUUUGAUCAUUUGAGGAAGGACUGUCCAUCUCAUGGGCAGCCACGCCCAGGUUUGUUCAUUGGAGGGACAACACAAGCCGAUGUUAACGAUCCUGUUCAUGUGGAGAAUGAAGAAGAAGAGGCUGAAAUUGUGCAUACAGGUAACACGGGGCCUCUUUUGGUGGUCCGACGGGCAUGCCUUACGCCUAAGGGGUCGUCUGAGGACCUGCAGCGAAAUAAUAUCUUUCUGUCUACGUGUACUAUUGGAGGAAAGGUGUGUAGGUUCAUCAUUGAUUCGGGCAGUUGCGAAAAUGUGAUAUCUGAAGCGGCCGUGCAGAAGCUGCCGUUAAGCACCGAACCUCAUCCUGCUCCCUAUAGCCUAGCAUGGUUGAGACGAGGUAAUGAAAUUCGUGUUACUAGUUGUGUGUUGGUAUCUUUUUCUAUUAGCAGUGUGUAUCGUGAUAGUAUUUGGUGUGAUGUGGUGUCGAUGGAUGCGUGUCAUUUGUUAUUGGGUCGUCUAUGGCAGUUUGAUAGGGAUGUGUGCCAUGAAGGGCGUCGAAAUGCAUAUACAUUCACCUUUUCGGGUAAAAAGAUUGUACUACUAUCCUCCAAAGAUACGCAAUGUCUGUCUUUGGCAGGGGACAGUAGUAAUCUACUUUCCCGAUCUUUGUUUGUGCGUGAGAUGCUGGCAGAAGGUGUUGUACUGUUGUUAGUGGGAACUGAGGCGACAGGAGUGUCGACAGUUCCUAUGGCAGCCGAGGGGACGGGUCUUCACCCCAAAGCUGCCGCCUUGGUGUCUGAGUUUCAUGAUGUGUUUCUGGAUGACCUUCCACAGGGUCUUCCGCCUUUGCGGGAUAUGCAACAUCACAUUGAUUUGGUACCGGGCGCGUCAUUGCCUAAUCGCCCACAUUAUCGAAUGAGCCCAGUGGAACAUGAGGAGUUGAGGAGACAAGUAGAGGAGUUGGUGCAGAAGGGGUACAUCAGAGAGAGCCUCAGCCCGUGUGCAGUCCUCACACUCCUAGUGCCAAAAAAAGAUGGGAGUUAUCGGAUGUGUAUAGAUAGCAGGGUCAUCAACAAAAUAACAGUUCGUUAUCGCUUUCCGAUACCGAGGCUAGAUGACUUGCUUGAUCAGUUGGCCGGCGCAACUGUGUUUACUAAACUGGACUUGAAAAGUGGUUACCAUCAGAUAAGAGUCCGUCCUGGUGAUGAGUGGAAGACAGCAUUUAAGAUACGGGAUGGAUUAUUUGAGUGGCUAGUUAUGCUGUUUGGACUAUCCAAUGCACCGAGCACGUUCAUGCGGGUGAUGAACCAAGCACUUCGACCGUUUAUUGGUAAGUGCGUUGUUGUAUACUUCGAUGACAUAUUGGUGUACAGUAGGUCGGAGGAGUCUCAUGGUGUGCAUCUAAGGGAAGUCCUUACUGUUUUACGUAAGGAGAAGUUCUUUGCAGCCACUAAGAAGUGCGUGUUCUAUACCGAUAGUGUUUUGUUUUGGGGGUAUGUUGUGUCAGCCGGUGGGGUAACGGUGGAUGCAGCUAAGGUUGAUACGAUUCAGCAGUGGCCGCGUCCACAGUCAGUUUCUGAUGUGCGAAGUUUCCACGGUUUAGCGUCGUUUUAUCGACGAUUUAUUCAGCACUUCAGCACCAUCAUGUCUCCCAUUACUGAUUGCAUGAAGGAGAGUAAGUUUCAGUGGACACCCGAGGCUGAGAAAGUGUUUUUGAUCAUUAAGGAGCGUCUGACUUCAGCCCCGAUACUUGCGUUGCCUGAUUUCACAAAACCUUUUGCAUUACAUUGUGAUGCCUCUAAAUUGGGUAUCGGAGCUGUCCUCAGUCAGGAAGGAAAACCAGUAGCUUAUUUCACUCAGAAGUUGGCAGGGGCUCGUGGGAGGUAUAGCACUUACGACGCAGAGCUUUAUGCUGUUGUUCAGGCCAUUCGCCAUUGGCGACAUUAUCUGUUUCAGCGAGAAUUUGUCUUAAACAGUGAUCAUGAAGCCCUCAAGCAUUUGUCAAGCCAGGAGUCUGUAUCUGUCCGUCAUGCAUCAUGGGUUGCCUUUUUGCAGCAGUUCAACUUUGUCAUUAAACAUCAGGCUGGUUCUUCUAAUCGUGUGGCAGAUGCGCUCAGUCGGCGGCAUGGGUUAUUAGUGCGGCUACAGGUAGUGGUCACCGGGUUUGAGACCUUUAUCUCUCUUUAUGCCGAUGACCCUUAUUUUGGCCCCAUCUAUCAUAGUUUACUGCAGGGACCCCAUUCCUCUUUUCUGUUAGAGGAUGGGUAUGUGUUUAGAGGUGUUCAGUUGUGUAUACCAGAUUGCAGCCUUCGUUUGAAAUUGAUUGAAGAGUUUCAUGGUGAAGGUCAUGUUGGGCGAGAUCGUACUUUGGCUUUGAUUAGUGCUUCAUUUUUCUGGCCUACUAUGCGUCGUGAAGUGGAGAAGUUUGUCUCACGAUGCAGGGUGUGCCACAUGGCAAAGGGGAAAAACACAAACAGUGGUCUUUAUCGAUCAUUACCAGUGCCUUCAGCUCCGUGGACUGAUAUUAGCAUGGAUUUUGUCCUGGGUUUACCGCGCACACAACGUGGUAAUGAUUCCAUCUUUGUGGUGGUAGAUCGUUUUUCUAAAAUGGUGCAUUUCAUUCCCUGCAAGCGCACCACUGAUGCUGUCAAGGUUUCUCAGCUAUUUUUCAGAGAGAUUUAUCGGUUGCAUGGAUUGCCCACUUCUAUCAUGUCUGACAGAGACACGAGGUUCAUCGGUUACUUUUGGCGGAGUUUAUGGAAGUCAGUUAACACGUUGCUCAAUUUUAGUAGUGCUUAUCACCCUCAAACUGAUGGGCAAAUAGAGGUAGUUAAUCGUUCUUUAGGUGACUUGUUGCAGUGCUUGGUUGGGGAUAAUCUACACUUAUGGGAUCAGCGGCUUAGCUAGGCAGAGUUUGCGUAUAAUCAUGCUAAAAAUAGAAGCACCAGUUUCAGUCCGUUUCAGGUUGUGUAUAGUAUUCUGCCCUGCAGCCCUGUUGAUUUAUUGACUCUGCUCUCGAAGCCUCGGCUGCAUGGGACAGCUGUUGACUUUGUUCGUAGUUUGCAAUAAGUUCACGAGGAAACACGAGCUAAUCUGCUAGAGUCCAACCAUAAGUAUAAAGAGGCGGCCGAUUGGCAUCGACGUCCUGUUGAGUUUGACGUUGGGGAUUAUGCUUGGGCGGUACUGACUAAGGAUCGAGUGCCAUCUCAUGAGCAUUCGAAGUUAUCACCUCGUACCAUUGGUCCAGUGGAAAUUGUGGAGAAGAUCAACCCCAACGCCUAUCGCCUUCGACUUCCUUCCCAUAUACGGACUUCUGAUGUGUUUAAUGUAAAGUAUCUUUUGCCAUACCAUGGAGACAACGUGGGAGAUAGUGCUACCGGUUCUGAUUCGAGGGUGAAUCCCAUUGAUCCCGGGGAGAAUGAUGAAGUUUAUGUGGAGGAACAGGCAUUGGCAUACAUGGAACGGUUGGAUGGUCGACUUUCAAAGAAAUUGAUGUAACUUUUGCGUUUGGUAUCCGUUUUGGGCCCAUAACCCCAUUUCGGAAAGGUAGCGAGCGUUUCGGAUUGAACUCACCGUUUCGCCGUGACGUACGAGGGUUUUUGAGCAUUUGAAGUCGCUUAGUGUGUCAAAACAGAACUUUAAGUUUUUGUGUUAUUUAUUUUCAGCAUUUGUUAUUUCCAUUUUGUAGCCCAACCCAUUUUGGGACUGCUGGCCCAGUAGGUUAUCUUUUCUUUCAUAUUUAAGACGCUACAAGACGCCUCCUAGGAUUUUCUUGGUUGUUCAUGAAAUAAUAAAAGUUUGUUUCUGAAUUCAAUCCGUUUGGUUAUUGUUGUCGUGUGUUUGUAGAUUCAAUCUACAUCAGAAAUUAAUGGCUGCCAAAAAUUCACAAAAGAAGAGGUUAAGAUGGUAACGAGAUCUUUUGAUUUCAUGGGCAUAAAUUAGUAUACUGCUUACUAUAUGUAUGAUCCACAAAGAAAUAAGAUAGCCCCCCUUGGCUACCGGCAGGAUUGGAAUGUUGGAUAUGCUAGUAAGAUUCUCUCUUUUGACAUUGAAAUCAACGUCUAAAUUUACUGAAUAACAUUACCUCAUAUGUUGCCUUUCCAGAUGAUUGUCAUGGAGUGCCAAUCGGUCCAAGGGUAACUCAGCUGAAACCAUGCUGCUAAUAACAAGCUCACUGUGAAUUUGUUAUAAUUAGGCACAAUCUUAUUGGCUCUACAUUGUACCAUGGGGUCUGUACAAAGCUGUUAACUACAUUAAAGAGACUUGUGGAAAUCCUACCAUGAUUUUGGCUGAGAAUUGUACAUUAUGUAUGCAUUCUAUAUUCAAGGAAGUUUUACGCUUAGGUGAAAAAUUAUCGAGUAUCUAAAUGUUGAAUCAUUUUCACAUGAUUGGCAGGAAUGGAUGAUCUGGGAAAGUGUUGCAUGUUCUAAGGAUUUACAUGAGACCACAAGGAUCAACUACUAAAAGAGCUAUUUAGCAGAAUUGAAGAAACAAGCAAUGAGGGAGCCAAUGUGAUCAGCUACUUCCAGUGGACAUUGCUUUCUAAUUUCGAAAAGAGACUCAGGUACACAUCAAGGUCCGUCAUUGUCUAUAUUGAUUUCAAAACCCUCAAGAGAUACCCAAAGAUGUCCACCUACUGGUUCCGACGGCUGCUAUACCGAAGCCAGCAUUAAGCAAAAGAAUGGUUCUCUCUAUCUUUCAAUAUUGCCAUCUGCCAUCUUUCCAUUCGAAUUUAAAGCUGCCACAUGAAUUUCACUGGAAGGUACGAGGAACAAAAUUUAACUUGUUUUUAUUCAUUAAUAUUGCCCCGUCUACCUUACAUAACAUGGUGUGUUCUCGGUGUAUGACAUUGGUAACCCCUAAAUAUUUAUCGUAAAAGCUCAUUAUUAACACAAACUGAUAGUUCCCUUCUCUUACUUCAGAAACAAGUAACGAUCAAAGUAUUUUACAGUGGACCAUAGCAAUUACUGACUCUUAAGUUUCCAUCUUCAAAAUGUCUAAUCUUAGUCUUGUUUAGAGUACUCAAGCCUUUGUAGGUGUUUAUUUUGUAAGUAUACUUUGUGCUCAUUUGGUAAGAUAGACUUUGUAGUAUUGUCAAAUAUUACUAAAUAAUAAACAAUAUCAUUUUCAAUAGUACAUGUGAGUUUUGUACCAUAAAAUUUUUAACUAGAAUGCACUCAAUAAUUUAGUUUUUUUUAGAUUGUCUUUUUUCUCGAGAGUUUAUGAGCUAUGGAUGACUAGACUUUAUCAGGGCUGAACUGAUGAACCAAAUGGCCAAUGCUUUCCAGAGGAGGUGUGAAUAUUUGCCAGUAAAAUUACAUACUUCUUUGCUGAUUAGAUUUUGCUGAUAAAAAUACUUCCUUUUUACAAAAUAGAAGAUUCUUCAUUAGCUCUAUUAACUUAGCCCAGAACUCAUUCUCUCUGGGUAGUCAAUGCAAUAAUGAAUAUCUACUUGGAUUCGUUCUCCAUCGGAACCUAAAAGUAUAGUUCAUUGUUGGUUAAAUGGUUUAUUUAUAGGUCCUCUCGUAUCUUAAAUGCUUUUUUGGGCUGAUUUCCAUAACAUUUUCUCGGCAGUGCUCCAGCAUCUUUCUUGCUAAAGAUCAAGAUGAUUGCUUGGAUGAAUUUGAAAUUUAUGUCUUUUAUUCACUUCAAAACUAACCUACUCCCUACUAAUUAUCUUCUUCCUUGCUUCUUGUUCUGCUAUGGGGGAUUUUGGACUUGCUAAAACUUUUAAAGAAGAUUAUUUAGCUUCUUCAAUAAGUGCUUGCUUAGCAUACUCAUUAAUAUACUUUUCCCCAUCGACGUUAAUAAUAAUUAAUGGAUGAAGUAUGAAAAGAUACCAUGUUUCCUUGUGUUUUCUGUUCAUUCGUUCUAUUUUAGUUAAUGAUAAUAGAAUUUAUGAAUUUAUGCUAGCAUAUCAACCAGUGAUUCUAUAUGACCUUUGCUUCAAUAUGAGUGGCCGGUAUGCAAUGAAACUCUUUUAGAGGGAGGGUUUGCAAGAUCUAUUAAAGUUAAAGGUCAAAUAUGGUUUCACUAUGUUCUUUGGUUCUCUUUCUAUUUUGAUACAAUAACAGAAACAACAAACUAAUCCUUAGUUCCUAUCAAAAUCGGUUGACAGCCUUGAGCAUUCAAUUUCUUUCAAAAGUUUAUUGCAGAUUUAUCCAUAGUAGUUGAUACAUGCAACAUAUUCUUUUCUCCUUCAAUAAAACAUGGAGUAAUGGAAAAUCUAUUAUUUAACUCCAAUUAAACUUGUCAAAAACAAAAUUUAGUGCCAAUUUAUUUUUCCCCCUAAAUAUCUGCAAUCAG